rnacentral:lncRNA from 1 species
CUGGGCCCGCCUCUGGCCUGCCGGCGCCCGGGGCGGGGGAAGCUGCCUGGGGCCGGGCGGAGGGGGUCAGUGGAAGCUGCCGCUCGUGUUAAAGAGGCCGGGAGGAGCGGCUCCGGGGCUGCUGCGAAGGAGUAGCGGAAAGAGUAAUGGCUCAAAUGUUCUUUGCUGAAAGAUGAAAAUGUUGUAGUGAUGUAAGACUUAGUUCCCCACUGCCAGCAUUGUGAGUGACUGAAUAAUUAUCUGACUUACAUCUUGGAUCAGAGCAUUACUAUCAAGACCACAGAAGCAGGAAUAAGAAACUACUAAAGUCUAAAAACAGGUAGAUCUGCAACUUCAUGUCAAACAACAUGCCUUCUUAAUUCUGUCCUGACUUGCAUUAUCAG